ensembl:snRNA Rnu1-136 RNA, U1 small nuclear 136
UUACUUACCUGGCAGGGGAGAUACCAUGAUCACGAAGGUGGUUUUCCCAGGGCGAGGCUUAUCCAUUGCACUCCGGAUGUGCUGACCCCUGCGAUUUCCCCAAAUGCGGGAAACUCGACUGCAUAAUUUGUGGUAGUGGGGAACUGCGUUUGCGCUCUCCCCUG